rnacentral:rRNA from 1 species
AGAGUUUGAUCAUGGCUCAGAUUGAACGCUGGCGGCAUGGCUAAAACAUGCAAGUCGAACGAGAACGGGGGCAACCCCUAGUACAGUGGCGAAAGGGCGAGGAAUACCUUCCUACGUACCCCGAGGUCGAGGAUAGCCAGGGGAAACUCUGUUUAAUACUCGAUGUGGUGAGCAAUCAUCAAAGGUUUACUGCCUCGGGAGCGGGGAAUGUCCUAUCAGGUAGUUGGUGGGGUAAUGGCUCACCAAGCCUUAGACGGGUAGCGGGUGUGAGAGCAUGACCCGCCGCAUCGGGACUGAGACACUGCCCGGACUCCUACGGGAGGCUGCAGUAACGAAUCUUCCGCAAUGCGCGAAAGCGUGACGGGGCAAUGCCGCGUGCAGGAUGAAGCCCUUCGGGUUGUAAAGCUCUGUGGGGAGGGAAGAAUAAGGGCAGGUUAAUAGCCUGUUUGAUGACGGUACCUCCUUAGCAAGCACCGGCUAACUCUGUGCCAGCCGCCGCGGUAAUAC